AUCCGCUAAGGUUAGUAUGUGUUAUGUUGACUCAAGCGUGAGUAUGACUAGUCUCAAGUCAUUUAGUGUUGUACACUAAGACAAACACAUAGGUGCUCGAAAGAGUAAUCGAGUACACUAAACAACGAUCAAAAGAGAGUUCGAACAUACAUGUCAUGUAUGAACUCUAAAGUUGCAAUAUGCAAAGUAGUCCUUUGACCUGAGGCAUCAUAGAUGUCUAAUGGUUAGGUCCUUGAUCUUUGAUUAUGUCAACGGCAUUCCAUCGGAGUGUCCACGGCAUUGUUGGGGUCAAGCUAUCUAGUCGUG
rnacentral:lncRNA from 1 species